GAUGAACGCUGGCGGCGUGCUUAACACAUGCAAGUCGAACGAUUAAAGCCCCUUCGGGGGUGUAUAGAGUGGCGAACGGGUGAGUAACACGUGGGUAACCUGCCCUCUGCUUCGGGAUAACUCAGGGAGACUUGAGCUAAUACCGAAUACUCUGGACUGAUCGCAUGGUCGGUCCGGGAAAGUUCCGGCGGCAGAGGAUGGACCCGCGGCCCAUUAGCUUGUUGGUAGGGUAACGGCCUACCAAGGCGACGAUGGGUAGCCGAGCUGAGAGGCUGAUCGGCCACACUGGGACUGAGACACGGCCCAGACUCCUACGGGAGGCAGCAGUGAGGAAUAUUGGACAAUGGGCGAAAGCCUGAUCCAGCAACGCCGCGUGAGGGAUGACGGCCUUCGGGUUGUAAACCUCUUUCAGCAGGGACGAAGCGAGAGUGACGGUACCUGCAGAAGAAGGACCGGCCAACUACGUGCCAGCCGCCGCGGUAAGAC
rnacentral:rRNA from 1 species